CGGGAAACCGGAGCUAAUACCGGAUAAUAUUUUGAACCGCAUGGUUCAAAAGUGAAAGACGGUCUUGCUGUCACUUAUAGAUGGAUCCGCGCUGCAUUAGCUAGUUGGUAAGGUAACGGCUUACCAAGGCAACGAUGCAUAGCCGACCUGAGAGGGUGAUCGGCCACACUGGAACUGAGACACGGUCCAGACUCCUACGGGAGGCAGCAGUAGGGAAUCUUCCGCAAUGGGCGAAAGCCUGACGGAGCAACGCCGCGU
rnacentral:rRNA from 1 species